GACUAGUCCAAUGGUAGUGUGUUGUCAGAGCUUGUUAACAUUAGUGUCACUACAUUUGGUAUACAACCUCCCACUGCUCAAUUUGGCUAUUAA
ensembl:misc_RNA Y_RNA Y RNA